GAUGAACGCUGGCGGCGUGCCUAAUACAUGCAAGUCGAGCGGCAGCACGGUCUUCGGACUGGUGGCGAGCGGCGGACGGCUGAGUAACGCGUAGGAAUAUACCCCAAAGUGAGGGAUAACUGCCCGAAAGGGUGGCUAAUACCGCAUGUGGUCUUCGGACUAAAGCCUUCGGGCGCUUUGGGAAUAGCCUGCGUAAGAUUAGCUAGUUGGUGAGGUAAUGGCUCACCAAGGCGACGAUCUUUAGCUGGUCUGAGAGGAUGACCAGCCAGACUGGAACUGAGACACGGUCCAGACUCCUACGGGAGGCAGCAGUAGGGAAUUUUCCACGAUGGGCGAAAGCCUGAUGGAGCAACGCCGCGUGCAGGAUGAAGGCCCUCGGGUCGUAAACUGCUUUUAUGUGCGAAGAAUAUGACGGUAACACAUGAAUAAGGGUCGGCUAACUACGUGCCAGCAGCCGCGGUAAU
rnacentral:rRNA from 1 species